rnacentral:lncRNA from 1 species
AAAGAUUUAUUAUUGUCAAUACCAAAAACAGAUUCUUUAGAAUAAUUCAUUGCUCAAGCUAUUCCAUGUGAUAAUCGUUUAUUUGAAAGAUGUUAAGAACAAAGAUAUGGAUGGAGAGGAACCAGUCAAGUCAUGGCAACACCUUUUAAGUUUUUGGAAACCUUUCCAUCAAGGCGAGAGCUAAUACAAAUUGAUACGAUAUAUUUUAAAUCCCUCACUGAGCAGAAAAAGACUCGAUGACGUCAAGAGGGCUUAUAUCUAUAUUGUGGAGAAGCUAAACACAUUGCUCAACAUUGUCCAAGGAAUCAACGCAAUCACAAAAUGAGGAGUACGAUUGCAAAAGAAGACAAUGUGUCUGAAAACGAGUUC